rnacentral:lncRNA from 1 species
AAUAAUAUCGGAGUCUCUUCUUCGAGACUCUUCCGAUGCUCUUCCUUCUCUCUACUUUCUCUCUCUAAAUUUCUUUGAUCUUUUGCAUGUUUUCAUGGUAUCAGAGCCUACAUAAUGAUUCGAUGAUACUUUUGUGUGAAUCAGUAGUUCGUUUGAAUUGUAUCUGAUGAAAAUUUUGGGGUUUUCUGAGAUCGAAAGGUCAGUGAUGGUUUUGACUCCGAUUGG